rnacentral:rRNA from 1 species
UACAGAGGUCUCAAGCGUUGUUCGGAUUCAUUGGGCGUAAAGGGUGCGUAGGUGGCGUCGUAAGUGGGGUGUGAAAUCCCGGGGCUUAACCCCGGGACUGCAUUCCAUACUGCGGUGCUUGAGGACUGGAGAGGAGACUGGAAUUUACGGUGUAGCAGUGAAAUGCGUAGAGAUCGUAAGGAAGACCAGUGGCGAAGGCGGGUCUCUGGACAGUUCCUGACACUGAGGCACGAAGGCCAGGGGAGCAAAGCGGG